rnacentral:rRNA from 1 species
CUACCAUGCAGUCGAGGGGUAGGGUUACUUCGGUAAUCUGAGACCCCNCGCACGGGUGCGUAACGCGUAUGCAAUCUACCUUUUACUAUGGNAUAGCCCAGAGAAAUUUGGAUUAAUACCAUAUAGUAUAUUUGAAUGGCAUCGUUUGAAUAUUAAAGAUUUAUCGGUAAAAGAUGAGCAUGCGUCCCAUUAGUUAGUUGGUGUGGCAACGGCAUACCAAGACGAUGAUGGGUAGGGGUCCUGAGAGGGAGAUCCCCCACACUGGUACUGAGACACGGACCAGACUCCUACGGGAGGCAGCAGUGAGGAAUAUUGGUCAAUGGAGGCAACUCUGAACCAGCCAUGCCGCGUGCAGGAUGACGGUCCUAUGGAUUGUAAACUGCUUUUGUACGGGAAGAAAACAAACUACGAGUAGUUAAUUGACGGUACCGUAAGAAUAAGGAUCGGCUAACUCCGUGCCAGCAGCCGCGGUAAUACGGAGGAUCCAAGCGUUAUCCGGAAUCAUUGGGUUUAAAGGGUCCGUANGCGGCCUUAUAAGUCAGUGGUGAAAGUUUUUGGCUUAACCAAAAAAUUGCCAUUGAUACUGUAGGGCUUGAAUAUCUGUGAAGUANCUAGAAUAUGUAGUGUAGCGGUGAAAUGCUAGAUUUUACAUGGAAUACCGAUUGCGAAGCAGNUACUAACAGAUGAUUGACGCUGAUGGACNAAGCG